rnacentral:lncRNA from 1 species
GUUGAGGCUCGUCAGUAAACUCAACUGGAGGGGAGGAGAUUACACCAGCAUGUGAGUACCAAGAAGGGGACCAUCCGGAGCCAUCUUGGAGGCUGCCUACCACACCUUACUUAAAAACAGACAAGAGUCAGAAUCUCUUCACUUCAUCUGCUUUUCAUGAGAGUGAAACAGUGUUACCUGUAGCAAUACAGGGCCUCAGUCUGAUGUCGAAGAUUUUCCUGAGAUCUCCUACAGACAGAAGGAAUAUGGAAGACUUUUUUCCCCAGAACAGCAACUACAAUAAUUCUAUAAGAUGAUCUUAUCCUGCUAAGAGUAUUAACAAGAAAAAUCACUAAUAGGAAAAUUAAGAGACAUUCAUUACAAAAGUGAUUACUCAAACUCAAAUACAGUUAUCUCAUUUCUCAAAGAAAAGUCUAAAAACCCAGAGAAUUAAAAUCGGAGUUUUUGAGGCAGUUUCCAUAACUCUAUCAUUUCCAGCAGGGAGAAAAAUCAGAAGUUGCAAGUCACUCAAGGGAAAGCAGAAUUCAAGAAGUGGAUGUCACAAAGCCGACACUGAAAGUGUAAUACUUGGUACCAACCAGGUUUUUGAAGCCAUCAAUGAAGAAAACCCAGACACAGCAUUUGAACUGACACAGACACACACACCCCCCAAAACAAACUUCUGAGGAGCAAAACAAAAUAAGUCCACUCUAGUUUGAAAUUUCUUAAUUAAGGGGUUAUUCACAUAAAUUUUCACAUGCUUACCUUAACAUUUUAUUGGAUAGCUUCUUCAGUAUUUCUAAGACAAAACAAAAAAAUAUUAUAAUUGUUUAGAUCUUUUAAAUACUUAGUAGCUUCAGUUCAAGUUCAUUUUAUUUUGCUUUUUGAUUGGCACAAUUUUAUCUUCCCCUCCUUGCCUAAGACAUAUCCAAGAAAUGCAUUAUCCAAAGUGAUUUCAUUACUGGAAGAAUAUUCAUUAAAAUGUUUGCGAAGUCCUGUGGUUUGAUAGAAUUUGCCCUUUGUUCCACAGCUUUCAGGACUAAAGCGUCUCCAAUUUCAGAGUCGUAAACACUCUAAAACCAUUUUCCUAUCUGUACUUCUUAUAGCUGAGUGAUGCUUUUCCAGGGAAGAGAGGUCUGUUGGAAUUCCCAGCCCAAUUUUAGAUCCAG